GCAAGCUUUGGGUUCGAUUAGCACUGCUAGUCGCACGAGUUUUAGACUCGUGGCAGAUAGCUCAGUAACACGUGGCCAAGCUACCCUUCAGACCAGAAUAACCUCGGGAAACUGAGGCUAAGACUGGAUACGGUAUGUAUGCUGGAAUGCGACAUACUCCAAACGUUCCGACGCUGAAGGAUGCGGCUGCGGCCGAUUAGGUAGACGGUGGGGUAACGGCCCACCGUGCCAAUAAUUGGUACGGGUGAUGAGAGUCAGAGCCCGGAGACGGAAUCUGAGACAAGAUUCCGGGCCCUACGGGGCGCAGCAGGCGCGAAACCUUUACACUGCACGGAAGUGCGAUAGGGGAAUCCCAAGUGCGAGGGCAUACUAGCCCUCGCUUUUGUUGACUGUAAGGAGGUCAACGAAUAAGAGCUGGGCAAGACCGGUGCCAGCCGCCGCGGUAAUACCGGCAGCUCGAGUGAUGUCCAAUAUUAUUGGGCCUAAAGCGUCCGUAGCUGGCCAGCCAAGUUCGUCGGGAAAUCCACCUGCCCAACAGGUGGGCGUCCGGCGAAAACUGUCUGGCUUGGAACCGGAAGGCUCAGAGGGUACGUCCGGGGUAGGAGUGAAAUCCCGUAAUCCCGGACGGACCACCGAUGGCGAAAGCACUCUGAGAAGACGGAUUCGACAGUGAGGGACGAAAGCUAGGGUCUCGAACCGGAUUAGAUACCCGGGUAGUCCUAGCUGU
rnacentral:rRNA from 1 species